GCCAGGUCCAAGAACCACACCACACACAACCAAUCCCCAAAAUGGCACAGUUACAAACACACAAGUCUCUUAAGGAGUUGACCCCAAGUUCCUGAGGAACAUGCACUUUGCCAAGAAGCACAACAGCAAGGCCCGAGGAAGAUACCAACACUGAAAACACAACGAGUGGACAAGCAGAGGCCAUCGGUGGUUAAGCCGGGUGUUCCCUGCUCACCCCAAGCUUGGGAACUGGAUUUGAAGCUACACGGCCAAGGACCAUAGGCUCUGACAUCCAAAGCCCAGGGGUCAAACCAAGACAGAGGCUGCAGCUCCAGCUAAGGCCCAGCUUCAGCUCCAGCUCAGGCUCCCAAAGGUGCCGGGCCUCAGUGAAGGCCU
rnacentral:lncRNA from 1 species